rnacentral:lncRNA from 1 species
UCCAUUGCACCAUCACAUCUCGCGGUAUCACCAUCUGAGAGCCAGCCUACAUAGCAUCGAUUUGCCAUGGCCUUCAUCUUCAUCCUCUGCCCUCAAAUAUGUCCAGAGAAGCCGCGGAUGAUGGGCAGAACGCCAUGCUGAAAAGCCUCAAGCUCGUAGGGCAACCAAGCAUCUUUGGCAGAUAUUACAACAUCUCCUGAGCUCAUCUGUAUUUUUUCAUGUAAACUUCUAUGCUGGAGAGUGAUGGUUACCUGUUGGUUAAACUAGUAGUGUUUGUAUGUUCAUUUCCCUUCUCUUUGCGUUGUUGAGCACUUGAGCGUAUGAAGACUGUUGGUACUUAGUAGUGAUACUUGUUUUCAGUCAAUUGAAGAACUCUGUUUCUCGUGUGCUGCUUGGGCUCUCCAUAAGGUUUUUAGUGGCAUUUCAUUAACAAUCAUCAGGAAAGGUAAGUCACUAUGGUAGUAUCAUAUAUCUGACUCUCUAGGCAAAACAUAACUAAAAUUGUUGCUCAAAACUGGUAGAGCAUCCACAAUCACGAUUGUCAAAUUUCGAUCCCCAAACGUGGUUGUAGAUGCUCCUAUUGUUCUCUGAAUGUUUACUUCUGAAAUUGUACACAUAGUGGAUAUGUAUAGGCUCAUCUCAUCUCAUGGCUGGCUAUUGAAUGAAGCAUUACAAAACAGAGUCUAGACAUCCAUUAAGCGCAAUGCAGAAUUCAGCUAGCAACCACCAACCAAACUUUUCACUAACAAGGAGAAAAAUUCAGGACAAGUUUGGACCAUCAUGUCCAAGUUUAUUCUCACAUACGUACUUUUCAUGACUAACAAGGAGAGGAAUUCAGCCAGCAACCACCAACCAAACUGACCUGAAAUCCUGAACCGAACACGGGCCAGGUCAGGUCCUCCUACUCGGCGGCCUUGGGCUUGGAGAACUCGGAGAUGCCGCUCGCCUCGAUCCACUGCUCCCAGUUCCUCCCGUCCGCCUUCCUGUACUCGACGUGCGCCAGGGUGCCGGCGCCGACGCAGGCGGCGGUGACGGCGACGCCGUCGGGGUUGGACCUGGGGAUGUAGAAGGAGGUGAUCCCGCACACCUUGCAAAAGGUGUGCUUGGCCGUGUGGGUGCCGAAGGUGUAGGUGGUGAGGAAAUCGCCGGCGCCGGCCUGGAGCGCGAACUUGUCCUUGGGCACGACGAAGUGGGUGUUCCCCCGCAUGGAGCAGUCGGAGCAGUUGCAGAUCCACGCCACCACGCUCGCCGGCGCCUCCACCUGCCAGCGCACGCGCCGGCAGUGGCAGCCGCCGCUGUGGACGACCUCCGGCUCCGUGCUCAUCGUGGGCUUUGGGUUCUUGCCCGGUUGGUCUCUUGGGUCGAGGGGGAAUGGAGGAUAUGGAUGAGCUCUUGCUCGAGGGGAAGAGAGGAAGAGAUGUUGGGAACAGGCGUAGAAACCUGUGGCUCGGCGGGUUCACUGCGCCGGGCUGAUGCCACGUGCUCAAACUCCUCGCAAAGCUAGACACUCGUCAGCGGUGACACGACCGAAGCCGCGCGGAAAGCGGGAUGAAAGGGAAGCAACUAGAUAAUGGAGCGCUCAUAACUAGCACUCCGCGAGUGACAACUGUCGUGCCUGAAGCGCUCCCGCAAGGGAAAUCAGCUGACGUGGUUGGCUCUCGGUUUGUCUUUCCGGUUUGUGGUUUCGUGUGUUUUGCAGUUUGACCUUUGAAUUACCAGAAUUUUCCGUUUUCCCUUUCCGUGCGAUAACACAAAGAAAAUACCAGUUCGCGCGGUUGGUUCCGUGUUCCCUUUUUCGUUUCCCUUUUUGUUCCCACUAUAUUUCCGGGUAAUGGAGAUUUAUGCGGUAGUUACGGGCAGGGACUACCAACACUAUCAACUGUGACCUUUCAAGUAAGGAAAAAACAGCAACUUUUUAAUGCAAAACGGCAGUCUUCAGAAUCGUUCAAUCGUGUGAAUUCUGUAUAGACACGGUUGUACCCAAGCAGAGGCACAUGUGUACACUAGCAGAGGCACAUGUGUGAAUUCUCCAGCGCGAGGGAACCUCCUGCUCGCCUUCGACUCGUUUAAUUUUCAUAAACAUCUUGAAGGGGGCAUAGGUUGAAGUGUGUUUCGGUCGUGCACCGUGCUGGUUCGUGCGGCGCGUUGUUCGUCGGUUCGUGACACGGCGCCUCCGGCGCGAGGGAACCUCCUGCUCGCCUUCGGCUCGUUUAAUUUUCAUAAACAUCUUGAAGGGGGGGCAUAGGCCGAAGUGUGUUUCGGUCGUGCAGCGUGCUGGUUCGUGCGACGCGUUGUCCGUCGAUGUGUGACAUGGCGCCUCCGGCGCGAGGGAAGCUCGUGCUCGCCUNNNNNNNNNNNNNNNNNNNNNNNNNNNNNNNNNNNNNNNNNNNNNNNNNNNNNNNNNNNNNNNNNNNNNNNNNNNNNNNNNNNNNNNNNNNNNNNNNNNNNNNNNNNNNNNNNNNNNNNNNNNNNNNNNNNNNNNNNNNNNNNNNNNNNNNNNNNNNNNNNNNNNNNNNNNNNNNNNNNNNNNNNNNNNNNNNNNNNNNNNNNNNNNNNNNNNNNNNNNNNNNNNNNNNNNNNNNNNNNNNNNNNNNNNNNNNNNNNNNNNNNNNNNNNNNNNNNNNNNNNNNNNNNNNNNNNNNNNNNNNNNNNNNNNNNNNNNNNNNNNNNNNNNNNNNNNNNNNNNNNNNNNNNNNNNNNNNNNNNNNNNNNNNNNNNNNNNNNNNNNNNNNNNNNNNNNNNNNNNNNNNNNNNNNNNNNNNNNNNNNNNNNNNNNNNNNNNNNNNNNNNNNNNNNNNNNNNNNNNNNNNNNNNNNNNNNNNNNNNNNNNNNNNNNNNNNNNNNNNNNNNNNNNNNNNNNNNNNNNNNNNNNNNNNNNNNNNNNNNNNNNNNNNNNNNNNNNNNNNNNNNNNNNNNNNNNNNNNNNNNNNAACCUCCUGCUCGCCUUUGGCUCGUUUAAUUUUCAUAAACAUCUUGAAGGGGGGCAUAGGUCGAAGUGUGUUUCGGUCGUGCAGCGUGCUGGUUCGUGCGGCACGUUGUCUGUCGGUGUGUGACACGGCGCCUCCGGCGCGAGGGAACCUCCUGCUCGUCUUCGGCUCGUUUAAUUUUCAUAAACAUCUGAAAGGGGGGGCAUAGGUCGAAGUGUGUUUCGGUCGUGCAGCGUGCUGGUUCGUGCGGCGCGUUUAAUUUUUAUACAGCAGGUUGUGCAAAAGGCAAGCUCCUUUGUUUUGAAAGGCACGGGUUUGAAGAAUAUGUAGUCACGUGUGCGUAGGAGCUAGCCAUGGUUGAGUCUCUAGAGGAAUGUACGUGCAUGCACAUGUGUGUAUUGUCCGGAGGCAUGGGGCCUUGUCGCUUCCGGAGGCACGAGUGUGAAUCAUCUACAGUCACGUGUGUGUAGCAGCUAGCCACGGUUGAGGCGCUCUUGGUAUGUGUGUGUGGAUAUUGCCCAGGGGCAUGGUGACCCAGGCUUUGGUGGCACAGGGCCAUGUCGCCUCUGGAGGCACGAGAGGGUGGUCUCUAGAGUCACGCGUAAGGGUUCGUUUUGGGAGUCACUGUUGUCGUACAAAUAAGAAGGGGCACUGUUGUUUAUAGUGUACUGGCACUCUCUAAUGAUGUUCUUUUUUCAACAUGAACACGCAAUUUCUAACUAUAUUACAUACAAACGCGAGUUAUUGAUAAAUUGUUUUGUCACGUCUUGAUAGAAUUAGCCUCGCGGGCUAAAUCAAAAGUUUUAGUCUUCAUUCUUGCUGAAGAUCUUGCUAAUCUCGUCACCCAUUUCAUUAGCUUUGACUUAAUUCAUCUCGCUACUUAAGAGAAUGUACAUUGCCUCUGCCCUCCAGGCUUCGACCUCAUCCUGUGAAAUUUUGCCGAAAAGAUAAUUAUAUUAUUAGAGUUGGUGCAUAAAAGUUGUAUAUAAGUAAAUAUAUAUAGACUUACUGUCAAAUCUUCCAGGUCGAAAACUUUUCACCAUUGUAGAGGAAUGCAAGCUUUAAAACAGCAAAUGGUGAUUCACCCUUUUCUACCACUGAAACAUCUUGCACGGUAUGAAUCUGCCCAUCUUGUUUUCUUUGGAUUCAUUGUUUGUUUAAGUAUGGUGUUGAAGACUUCUUUAAUCCUAGGUACCUGGGAAUUGCAUUUUGUAAUUGUUUUAAUACUGCAACUUGUAAAACUGAAAAAAUUGUUAUGUAUAAAUGCUUACGAUUACCGACUUAUGAGCGUGAUAUUCCUGUAACUGUGUUUCUCUUUCUUUUUGAGCGUCUUCAUGUUCCUGAAGAACUCGACAUGCUUCAUGUGGAUCCAAUUUAUCCACGUCUAUAUUUUCUUUCUCAAAUUCCUCUGGAGUCGCUUCUCGAGGAUCAAUAAUGUGAACUUUGUGCUUAUAUUUGUCUAGCACAUAUAGUACGUAGCGGUCAUGCUUCUCCAUUGGAAUGAAUAUCUGCGUACAAAAUACUUGUUGGUUUUCUGACAGUUUAACAUAAAGUAAUUUGAUAGAACACAUAUUUUGUGAUUUUGUCACGGAGGAAAGGGAUGUUACCAUGUUUGCUGUUGAGAGCUUUUUCCGUUGAUUUUCUUUGAGAUACAUGGGAACCAGUUGAUUCUUUGUUUUUUGCAAUUCACUUUUAAAUUUUGGAAUAGUAGUUUUGUCUUUAUUUAAUUUCAGUAUAUGCUGCAAACAAUAAUUACGAUGCAAAAAACUGUUAGAAAAAAGAGCUGUGUAACAAUAUAACAAGAGUAGGUGUUGCAGUAUAGACAAGAUUUUGCUUUUUAAAAGUUUACCUCUGCAAAGUUUGGGCCUAAUAUUACUCUGUCACUCUCUUUUGAAUCUUGUCUGCUUUCCCAGAUUUCUGCUAUGUCAUCGAGCACCCUCUUUUCCAUAUGAUGUGGUAUGUUCGUCUGUGCUGGUCUUGGACCAAAUACUGCCUUCAGUUGGGCUCCAGUAAGUUGCGUGCUUUCACUGUCCCUACGGAUGCGCCUAAAUAUAGUUUUGUUGCGACAGGGAGAUAAAAUAAUUUUGGAGGUCAGGGUUAGUGAGAAACAGAUUUUUUUUACAUUAUUUUUUGCCUCGGUCCAACUAUUUUGAGGUGCAAUAGAAAAUAACUCACUUUUUAUAUUCCUCCUGCCAGCUUUAUGUGUUGGAAGCAAUGAGAAUGUUUUGUGUAUGGACUAGUGCUUCGUCCUUUUUUCCUUUUUGUUUCAUCUGUUUCUAUUAGCGGAAGCAGAUAUGUAAUAUGUAAGUUCUCGUGAUACGAAAGACAUUGGUCAACCGUGGGAUGGGGUGGGACGGGUAGGUCAUUAAAAAAAGAUAACCAGAAAUGAUUUUCUUACCUUUGUUGGUGGAAAAGAAGUUUGAAGUUUCUGGUUUGAAUUCUUUGAUUCUUCCAGGUAGUUGCUCGCACUUUACUUGGUUCGUUUCACCAAAUAUGGCUGUAAAAAAGAACUCUGGUUUCCACUCGGCAUCUACGUUUCUAUGCUGCAUGAAGGUCAUCGGAUAUUCUUUUAUUUUUCUUUCAUGAGAUAAUUGAAGUAUUCAAGUAGUGCUGCUUCUAAAAAAUAAAAUUGUUGCUCUCGUACUAUUCACUUACAUGGAAAUCCUCAUCAUCUUUUAUGAGAUCAAUGCCAUUCCAGUAUUUUGCAAAUUGAACCAUGAAGUGUCCGCAUUGGGUACCCUGCUGUUUUGGCACGCAAACUCUGUUAGGUGUUUCUGCUAUCCUCGACCAGUUUGGUUCACUAUUGGCUCGUAGUUUCGCUUCGCCGUAAUGCUUCUUCAUGAGUGCGUGCAUCCUUUUAAUCUGUGAUUACGGUUUGGUUUUAUUGUUGGAUUUUUCCAUUAAUAAAGGGAAUGCAGGAAUUGGAAAAUCAAUUAGAAAACCAAGGUUGAAUUGACGUACCAGUUCUGGGUGAUCCUUAUGGUGUGUUUUACAUGUAUUUUUUCCUCUGCCGUGUGUGUAAUUCAGUGAGUCAAGUAUGUCGAUGGAGCUCGUGUACUUGUUGAGCACGUACAGUGUGAAGUGUUUAGCUGUGUUGUGAGGUAUCAUAAUCUGCGGUGUUUGGAGACAGAGUGAGUUAAAGUUCAUUCUUGCCAGGAGAAUUAAAUGACAUGUAAAUGUGCAAGCUGUAGGAAGAAUGAAUUAUGUUUGUAUAUUUCUAUUAACUUACCAGCUUUUUCUUUAAAAGUUCCUUCCCUGUUACAAAGGGUGCAAACUGUUUCAAUGCUUCGUCCUCAUUGAAUUCUGCUAGUCCUCCUUCUCCAGUAUUAACACCGAGCACAAUCUGCGACCAAAAAGUUUUCUACUUUUUAGUUCAAUCUUCGUAAUCACUGAAAUGAUGCAAGUGUUUUUGUCAAAUUGGACUUCAUACGUUUGCAAAUUCUGGGAGUAUGGCUUUAUCGGUUGUGUUGUAUUGUUGCUACACUGUCCAUUCUUCGAACAAUGCGUUGGCGAUGGAGCCCUCCAUCUGUCCUGUAUCUCCUUUCUUUAGGUCUUCCAUUAUUUGUUUUCCUGUAAUCCAAUCGGGUCGCUUCGAGCUAAUAUAUACGUUUAGUCUGCAAGCAGAAAAAGUUUAUACAUUAGUUAGGUGGGUUUAAAAAGGAGCAACAUUUCUUUGUUUUUUUGUUGUGACAAGAGAAGUACUUACUCUCCGCAUUCGUCCUGUCCUUCUUUGCUGAAUAGGUAUUCAUGAAGUGCUCUGGCUUUGUUCAUAAAUUUGAAAUCUCCUGGGAUAAAAGUAGGAAUAAUAAUUUUUCCAUGGAUCCUGCUUGAAGGCUUUACCGGCCUCUUCUUGACCGAGAUUUUCUUGUCUGAGCUGUUCUCAGAUGAUUGAGGCAUUGAAUGUUCUCCGGAUUCUUGCUGCAAGAUCGCCAGAUACGGCUUGGCAUCUUUGUUGAAUUCAUAGCUUUCAUAGUCGUUCAGCCAUGUUUUGAUUACAUCGAAUUUAUAGCCCAUCUUUACAUACUCAUGGUAUUCGUCUAGUUGGAGCGGUUAAAGGCUUAAAAGAAAUUCAUCAAUUUCUUCAUGCCUUUUCCAUUGUUUUGGGCUGGAAUUUAUAGCCCAUCUUUUCCAUUGUUUCAUAAAAUCAAGAACAAUCCAGGAUUGUCUUGCUUGGACUUUUGAGUAUAUUCAUCAGUGCAAUCAGUCUAAAAAGCCCAUCCUUCUGCUUAAGUUAGAUUUUGAAAAGGCUUUUGAUUCUAUCCAGCAUGAGGCAAUUUUAAAGAUUCUUGUAGCAAAAGGUUUUGACAACACAUGGAUCACAUGGAUUAAACAGUUGUUGUCCUCUGCAACUUCCUCUGUUCUGCUUAAUGGUGUACCUGGCAACCAUUUUAAAUGCAAGUGUGGAGUAAAGCAGGGAUACCCUAUUUCUCCUUUGCUCUUUGUUAGUGCUGCAGAUCUCUUGCAGACAAUGAUUAAUGAUCUACUGUAGCAGGGUUUGAUAAGUAGGCCAUUGCCAACCCAUGAUCCUGAUUUCCCUGUUGUUCAGUAUGCUGAUGAUACAUUGCUUCUUUUAAAUGCUGAAAGGGGUCAAAUGGAGGCACUGAAAUCAGUGCUCUGUUCUUUCUCAAAGGCAACUGGUCUCCAGAUCGACUUUCAUAAAUCUUCCAUGUAUCCUAUUAAUGUGAAUGAUCAUGAUGCUACAAAUCUAGCUACUUUUUUGGCUGGAAUUUAGGCACAAUGGCUUUCACAUAUUUGGGCCUGCUAGUGGGGACUACCAGACCCAAGAUUGUGGAUCUUCUUCCCCUGGUGGACUGCAUGGAGAGAAGACUGACAUCUAGUUCUUGGUUUUUGCCUCAAGGAAGCAGAUUACAAUUGGUGAACUCUGUCAUUUCUUCCUUGCCUAUCUUCUUCCUUUGCAGUUUGUCAAUUCCUCAGGGUAUUCUGAAGAAGUUGGAAAGGAUUCAGAGGCAGUGUUUAUGGAGGAAAUAUGGUCAGGAGAGGGGCCACUCCCGGGCUGCCUGGCCCCUUGUUUGCAGACCCAAGUCCAAGGGUGGUCUUGGAAUCUUAAACCUUGGUUUGCAAAAUGAAGCUCUUCUUCUUAAGCAUCUUAAUAAAUUCUAUAAUAGGAUGGAUGUGCCAUGGGUCCAUCUGGUUUGGGAUUCUUACUAUUUCCAAAGGGUCCCCCAUGAUACUAUACUGUGUGGAUCCUUUUGGUGGAGAGAUGUCUGCAAGUUAAUGGAUAAAUUCAGAGCAGUUACUUCUGUUGAUGUUCACAGUGGAGAUACGGUACUGUUCUGGUCUGAUUAUUGGCAAAUUGGGAACAGUUGCAUUCCUCUUCAAGAUCGUUUUCCUAGGCUUUAUUCCUUCUGCCUCCACAAAAACCUCUCAGUCAGGGAAGUCUUUCAGGCUAAUAAUUUCCAAGAGUUAUUUUAUUUGCCUCUGUCUGAGCAAGCCUUCCAAGAUCUACAACAGCUCUCGUCCUUGAUGGGAUCUUUCCAAUUGGACAGUGACUGCCAUGAUUCUUGGGGGUGGAGGCAUGGUAAAAAGUCUGAAUAUACUGCAAAGAAGUUUUAUGAUUUUGCUUAUCAGCCAAUGGUAGCAAAUCCCAUUCUGGGGUGGGUCUGGAAGAGCUGCUGCACCAUGUCGAUCAAAAUGUUUGCCUGGCUAGUCAUAAUGGACAGGGUUAACACCAAGGACAUGAUCCAACGGAGGCAUUGGAAGAUUAAUGAUGGGCCUGAAUGUGUACUCUGUCCAACUGGGACUCUUGAGGACUGAAACCACCUUUUUUUCCAGUGCAAUUUCAGUAUCCGCGUGUGGAUUUAUCUGCAAAUUGUUUGGAAGGACUGUGAUGACAUGGUGGGAAUUGCUUGGCAUGCCAGAAAGGAUUUCAACAAACCUUUCUUUUGGGAAGUGGUAUUCAUUGCUUGGUGGAAUAUUUGGAAUGUCAGGAAUGACAGAGCUUUCAGGAACAUUCGACCUUCUUUCAGGGCAUGGAAGAAUGGCUUCAUUCAUGACCUAACGCUCCUCUCGCAUAGAAUCAAAAGGAAAUAUAGAGAUGCCCUGCUUAAGUGGAUUGAUUUUCUACCUCCUUGAGGAGGUUUUUAUUUCUGUGUUUUUGCUGUAAUUAUUAGGUAUAGUAUCCUCCCCCUUCCUUUGUAUAGCUUUCGGUAGCUUUCUGUAGUUUCCUUUUCUUGUUUUCUUUCUUUUCCUCAUCUUGAGGGAUCCUUGUACUGGUGCUCUUUUUAUUAAUAAAAUGCUGUGGGGGGCAAGCCCUGCAGUCUUCAAGGUCAAAAAAAUUAACUUCAUGCUCUUCUGUGGUUGUCGCAUGCAUAAUAUGUUCUUUUGGCUCGGGAGUUGGCGGAAAUUCUUCUAGUACGCAACAUUCUGCCUAUUGCAUUUCUUUGUCUCCCAUAUCGACUUCAUACUUCAGCAUAUCUGUUAGAAUCAAAAAAUAAUAAUUAAAAAAAUAUUACUUCUUCUAGUGUGACAAAAUUGUAAGGUUUAGUUUCUGAAAAGACUAACCGGUUGUACACUUGAUUAAUGACAGUUUGGUAUUCGCUCUGUGUUGACUGAUUAGUUGAUAUAGAAUUUUUUUUCCUCAACUCUGGUACUUGUUCUGGCUCUAAGGUUGCUGUUGUUCCAUCAUUGGAGUAGUGCUUCAGGUUCAUGUACAUAUAGAAUGUGCAGUCCAUUCUACAUGUAGAGGAAUGGUACUAGUAAGAUUGUUGUAUUCAAGAAACGGAAAGAAGAGAAAUGUUGGAGCAAUGGUAGUGGUAAUUGUUGCAUUGAAAAUACGAAAGAACAUAAUUAUUUCAGUAAUUGUAGUAGUGAAUCUUGCAUUGAAAAAAAAGAAGUGAAAUGUUGGAAGUGCUUACGUGUCUUCUUCUUGAAGUGGCACCUGCAAUUUGACCUUUUUGAAAUGGUUGAUGCUUUUUUUGUGAAAGUUGUAGCUCUGUGCUUAUGUGCCUCCAGAUUUUCAUUAAUUUGCUGGUUACAUUGUUGAAGAAUUCUAUUGUGCCUGGAUAUGCAGUUGAAGAGUCAAGGAGUUCAAAGCGCUGUUUUUGCAUGUUAACUGUAAUGGUGAAGUAAUGACUUAUAGUUUCGUCUUGCUCAAACCCGCGCAACGAACAUGGUAGAAGGAACUGCAAAACACAAAAUAAAAAGAAAACAUUUGGAAAUUUUCUUAUAUUUAGAAGCAUAAAAUAAAAAGAGAACUUUGCAUAACAUAUACGCAAUUGUAUUUUGUUUUUAAAAUAGCUGAUCUGCUUACCAUGUUAUAAUCUUGCAGUUUUUCUUCUUCUUGCAUGUUGAAAAAUGCUCUAAGCCUGGCAGGUUGUAAUUUUUUUCUAAUGUGUUCUUGAUCAUUAUUUUUGUAGCACAUUGGAUCUUCAUCGUCGGCUUUCUUUAUCGAGUGUUGCUUGUUUCGUCACAGAUACACAAAGGGAAUUUGUCAGUUCAGUUAUAGGGGAAGUUUAUCUAUUUAUAAAGUCAUAUUUAUCAUUUUAAGCGUGAUUCUUUUGCCGUGAUCUUUACUUACAGUGUUGCGUAACGACAGAAUCUUUCUUCCUGUGCCAUUGAGUUGUUUUCUCAAGAUCGUUAGCAUGGGCUCGAUUGCUUCGAUGCUUACUGGUUUACCGACCUUGAAGCUUUCAGCGACAUGGCCUAGAUUGACAUCAAACUUGUCUGUUGUAAUGAAAAGCUCAUCCCUGCAAAGUAUAUUUAGAAAAAUGUUUUAGUUUACACAUGAUACAGUCAAAAUGAUCGUGUGUAAGAAUGCGUUUUGUGUUAGUUGCAUGAACUUACAUUUCUCUCUUUGUCCAUGGCUUGCAUACAGCGUUGUACAUGUCUUCGAUGGCUUUGUUGACGGAAUCACUAUCUUUGCCCCCUUUCUCCAUUGUGCCUGCGAUGAUUUUCAAUUUAAUGUAAAUAAUUCCAAGUCACAAGAUCACAAGAUAGCAAUUAAGUUUCUAUUGUCUUGCCUGCUUCGAUGCUAGAAGAUAUGUCCUGUCCAGUGUUGUUCCUUUCUUGUUCUCCUUCUGCUUCUUGCGGCAUGUUAUGUUCUUCUUUUUGCAUUGUACCCUUCUGUUCAGUUUCUGCUCCAUCCUUAUUUGAGUCGUUUGUGCUUUUCUUAACAUCAUGUUUUUCCUUGUCAACCGUCAUGUCUUGCUGGUGGUAUUUUCCGUCUUGUUUUUCAGUCUCGACCUGGUUGGCACUAACCUCUCUGCCAGGGGAAUUGGCAUCGUACGACGGUGUAGGGUUUUCUUCGAUAGUUUCUGGUUCUUUCUCUGGAACAAUCUGUGUGUUUGCUUCAUUGGUUGUAUCUCCGUGGUUGCCUUUUUUGUGUUUCUGCGUUAUCAUUGAAAAAGCAUUGAAAUAAUUUAACUUGCUACUUUAUUUUAAUUAUAGUAUCUGUUAUGGUAAAAUAGUGAAGCGUUCGGUGCGUGGUUUGAGCUAUUUUGAUUGUGAUUAAGUCGUAAUUUUGUGGAAACAUUUUGUGCAACUUCACCUGUUGAGCUAUCGUUGGUGAUGCUGACUGUUCCACCCGUUCUUCGUUGAGUGUAGUUUCUUGGGGAUCCUCUUGUUCUUUCUUUUGGUGUUCAUCGUCACUGUCAUGGUUUUUGUCUUGCAGUUGUUCGAUCAGAAAGGUGGCUAAGUUGGAGUGCAUUUGAGUUCUCAUGGAACUACUUUAUAUUUUCAUAGAAUCAGCUUAUGUAACUUUACCUCCUCAGUCGUUGCUGCUUCUGUUGUCUCUGCUACUGUUCUCGUUGCUGCUGCUGACUGUUGUGCUUGUUCUUCGUUGAGUGGAGGUCUUUGGGCAUCUUCUUGUUCUUUCUUUUGUAGUUCAUCGCCGCUGCCGUUGUUUUUGUCUUGUAGCUUUUGAAACACACAGGUGGCUAAGUGGCAGUGCAUUUGAGGUUCCAGAGAGCUAUUUUAUACUUUCAUAGGAUCAGCUUAUGUAACUUUACCUUUUCAGUUGUUGUCGCUGCUGUCGUCUCUGUUGCGUGUUUUUCGGUGAGUGAAUAUUUUGGGGCUUGGUCUUCUGUGACGUUGAUGUCUGCCGUUUGAAGAAUAUGUUGCCCUUCUUCAGUGCCCUCCUUUUACUCACUGGUCUCCUCUGUCUGCGAUGCAGGAAAGUAGUGAAAUGUCAAAUGCGUAUUUUUGAACUAUAAGAUCGUGAAGAGGUUUUAUGUGUUUUCACCUCUGUAUUUGUUGUUGUUACUGCUGAUUGUUCUACGUGUUCUUCGUUGAGUGGUGGUUUUGGGUCCUUCUCUUGCUCUUUAUUUUGCUGUUCAUCGUCACUGACCUUGUUUUUUUUCUUGCAGCUGUUCAAACAUAGAGGUGGCAAAGUGAGAGUGCAUUUGAGUGAAUACAGAUGUGGUAGGUUGGAGUUUAUUUGAGUGUGCAUGCAGUAAUUUUAUAAUUUCAUAGUUGCGGGUUUUGUAACUUUACCUUUUCAAUCGUUGACGCUGCCGCUGUCUCUGGUACCUGUUGUUUGGUGAUUGAAUUUUUUGUGGCUUGGUCUUCAGUGGCAUUGUUGUCUACCGUUUGAAGAACAUGUUCGGUUUGUUCAUUGGGCUGCUCUGGUUGUGUUUGAUGGUCUUGAUAUUUGGUGCUCUCUUGAGCUUCUUGUGCCUGCACCAACACAAAAAAUAUUUAAGAAAUGGGUGCAUCUCUGACUGUUGAGUUGCAAUUUUUUUAUAAGACCUCUUUCUCUGGAGUUGCAGGACUGUCUACUGCUGGAACUACGGCUUCUCCUUGUCUCGUGUUGUCCUCUUGUUUUUCUUGUUCAAUGUCUAUGCCAGUGCUUUCGCUUGCUUCCUCUUCCUGUUUAAUAAAAAUUGAAAUUAUAGAUUGAACUUCAUUUGUGUCUGAGCUUUGUAACCUCACCUCUUCAGACGUUGUUGUUUGAAGUUCUGUGUGUUUUUGAGUUUCCUUUGGUUGUGCUGCUUCUUGAUCUUCGAGAUCAACGUACUCGUUUGUUUCCUGCGUUUGUUCAAAGAAAAGGGUGAGACAUCCCUUAUAAUCCUUGUAUUGCGGUGGCGGGGUGUAUUAGGUAGUUCAGACAUCAUAAAUGUCUUGAAAAGGGGUUAUUGUUGUUGAAUUUUUACCUCUGUGUUGAUGACUAGGUUAUUCGUGCAUGCAUCGACUGUUUCUUUGUCAGAUAUAACAGUCUCUAGUUUCUCAUCGGCUGGGAUGUCUUGGGCUUUCUCCUUUGUACUCGUGAUGGUGAUCUGCAAUGUUGUGGCACUGGAAAUCUCUUGUGCACAAACUUCCUGUUCUGUGACGCCUUCGUCUGUUUGAGGUUCACUAUGGGGUUCAAUUUAAGCACGGGUUGUCUCUUGGUCUUGCAGUGCUUGUGAUACCUGGAGAUCAAACAAUAUGAGUUUGCGGUUCACUUUCUUUCCUGCCAUUAUGAGUUUCCGGUGCGGGGUGUAGUGGGCUAUGGAAGUUUACCUCCUCUUCGUUGUUUUCUUCUUCUUUGUUGUUUGUUAUGCUAACGGUUGAUUGUGGGUUAGCCUCUUGCAUUUGGUUGGUGGGACUGCUGACUUGAUUGUUCUCCAACUGAGCCUAUAUUUUGUUGGAGGUUUGUCAGUUAACUUAUAACUCUAUCCAGUUUUGAAAGGAAAGAUGGAUGUUCAUACUGACCUCUUCACUGGUUCUGUCGUCGAUCGUAUCUUGUGCUUGUGUUGGGGUAGUUGUUGGUGUUGUUGUAGCAUUGUCUGUUGUGAGGUUUCUUUGUUUGUUGCGUUCAUUCUUGUUUUUGGGGUUGCUGACAUCAUCCUGUUGUUGGAGUUCAUCUUGGCCUGGUGUCCUAUUGGUACGUUCCUGAAAGCAUUGAGACAGUUCUUUUCAGCUGAGGUAUCAAAACAGGGGGUUGCUUUAGGGGGCGGAUGGCAACAUGCAUUACUAUUUAUUUACCUGUUUUUGCCGCUUUAUCUUCUUCUUGUCAAUGCCCAUGUCCCUUGAUUUUGUUCUUCUCUUCCUCUCUUCGUCUUCUUCUUUCUUUCUUUCUUUUUCUCCUUUCUCCUGGUUCUGCUGUGGCUAUGAUUUCAUUCGUGCGGUUGCCAUCGACUAGUCUACUUGUGGCUGCUGGAUCUGCUUGCUCUAGUGUCUGCAGGGUCGCCUUGUCUGUCAGGUACCUUGUGCAAACUAUGUCCUGAAAAUCUCUGAGUUGUUUGACAGCUUCAAUUAGGGACAUUGUUUGUUGCACGAGUGAGGUCUUGUUUUUUUCAUCCAAUCUCUCCUCUUUUUCGCUGCAUUGGUGUUCAGCCCUGGUGGUUACUCCGGGUAACCGUUCUGCUUCAUCGAGCACUUUCUCCAACAAUUUCUUUAUCCUUUGGAAUCUUUCUUCUGGUCCUGUGCUGAUGCUUGUGUUUGGUUCCCUGCUUCCACUGGUGCCGACAAGUGGUUCGCGUCGACGCUUGGGUGGAGGUGGUAGCAGUUUGGUCGUGUGCUGGUGUUGCUGUUGUUUACGAUGUUCUCCUGCUAGCUGGUGAAUUGAAGACGAAGUUGAUGCUGUGCUGGCAUAGAAGAUCCUCUCUGCAGUUCCUUUCCAUGUCUGCAUCGUUUCGGUGGAAUGGAGUUGAUUAGAAUGGAAACCGUUUAAAAAAAGGGAAGGACUGAUUUAUGUACAACAGAGCUAUACCUGUAUCUUGCCAAAUUCAUAGUCAUCUGGUCGUGCUUUUCCGUCCCUUUUCAUCUCUCCUCUAGCUAUUUUCGCUAGGUCACUCUCUUUGAGAUGGUUUGCUCGUGGUAAUGAGGUCUUGUCCAUUGUCUUUGCAAUCUUCCGCAUUUCUUUUGUGUCGGUUGGCAGCAACAGGGAGUCGAGGUACAUGAUUACUGGUCCCUGUGCCAAACCAUUGAUAUGCUUUUUGUUCUUUUCUUCCUGAGGCAACAUCCUGUGCUUCUGCCAUAUCUUGGCUCCUUCCUUAAUACUUUCCACGAUUACCUCGCAGAAAUCCAUCUUUGCCAUUUCUGGAUAGUCCAUGUCCUUGACCAUUAUAGCUUGUUUGCUGAAGAUAGCGGCGCUUGACCCGCAGACAACAUUGUGAAAAAAAUAAGGAAAAAUAAUUUAAGUGAUUUCCUGUUUGAUUGUUCGACAUCUAGUUCCACCAAUAUUUCUAGCUCCUUGAACAGUUCUUUUGGCGUGAUUUUUCUAUGUUUGAAGCCAAGGUCUGACAUCAGUUCUUUCAUUGAAGUUGGGCUAGUCGUUGGCCUUGGUGCUGACUUUUGCAUGCCGUUUGGGUAUCCAAACACCUUGUGGAUAGCUUCCUUGGUAAUAUUGAUUUUUUUGUCUUCGGUACCAUCACCGAAGGUUAUUGUCAUGCUUUCUGUGUCCAGGUUGUCGUAGAUGUGUGCUGCAAGCGGUCUGCAGAUGGAGCCCGUUAUUUUGCAGUUUUCUAUGCUGCCAAAUCCCGCCGUCCUAAUAUCUUGCUUGUGACGGUCUUUAAGUAAAUUCCAUGUUUCUUGACAUGAGCGAAUGCUGCCCCUGCCUUGAUUUGGCAUUUCUCUUCGUUUGUUUCUUGCUAUUCUUCGUCAACUGUUGGUGCUGCCAAUUCUUUUCCGCUUGUCUUUCUCCUCUUUCUGUCCUUCUUGCCUGAUUUGGGCUGUUUCAGAAGAAAAAAAA